AUUGAACGCUGGCGGCAGGCCUAACACAUGCAAGUCGAGCGGAGCGGCGGACGGGUGAGUAAUGCCUAGGAAUCUGCCUGGUAGUGGGGGAUAACGUCCGGAAACGGGCGCUAAUACCGCAUACUAUCAGAUGAGCCUAGGUCGGGUUGGCUAGUUGGUGGGGUAAAGGCCUACCAAGGCGACGAUCCGUAACUGGUCUGAGAGGGUGAUCAGUCACACGGGAACUGAGAAACGGGCCAGACUCCCACGGGAGGCAGCGGUGGUGAAUAUUGGACAAUGGGCGAAAGCCGGUGCCAGCCAUGCCGCGUGUGUGAAGAAGGUCUUCGGAUUGUAAAGCACUUUAAGUUGGGAGGCGUUACCAACAGAAUAAGAACCGGCUAGCUGCGAGCCAGCAGCCGCGGUAAAC
rnacentral:rRNA from 1 species